rnacentral:rRNA from 1 species
CCUACGGGAGGCAGCAGUGAGGAAUAUUGGUCAAUGGACGCAAGUCUGAACCAGCCAAGUAGCGUGCAGGAUGACGGCCCUCCGGGUUGUAAACUGCUUUUAGUUGGGAAUAAAAGGGGGCUCGUGAGCCCCGUCUUGUAUGUACCAUCAGAACAAGUACCGGCUAAUUCCGUGCCAGCAGCCGCGGUAAUACGGAAGGUCCGGGCGUUAUCCGGAUUUCUUGGGUUUAAAGGUAGCGUAGGCCGGCUUUUAAGUCAGUAGUGAAAGUCCGCGGCUCAACCGUGGAAUUGAAGUUGAAACGGGAGGCCGUGAGUGCACACAGGGAUGCCGGAAUUCAUGGUGUAGCGGUGAAAUGCUUAGAUAUCAUGAAGAACUCCGAGCGCGAAGGCAAGUGUCCGGGGUGCAACUGACGCUGAGGCUCGAAAGUGCGGGUAUCAAACAGGAUUAGAUACCCUGGUAGUC